GCUAAAUUGUGUCAAAAGUUGUUGGUAAAUAUUUGAUUAUUCGGUGAACUGACCAUAAAUAUUUACAAUUAGGAUUACGUCAAUUGUAAUUGACAUCAAACUGAUACAAAAGUAGGGUUGUACAUAAACGUCAAUGUUUCUUACGUUAUCUGAAACCAAAGGAGAGGUUCAAAACAUACACGAAGGAAAAUAUUGUAGGUUUUUAUAAAUAUUGAUAUUGAUCUCAAAAUUAGGAAUUGAAGGCGACGAAUUGACUUUUUUCAGCAUGGUCUUGAUUUUGUAAUUGUUGCUGAAUUCCUAAUUUUUAAGCAAAUCUCAAAUAAAAUUGUGUUUGGAUAUUAGAGGAAAAGAACAAUAAAAUAAACAGUAUCGCCAUCCAUUUGACCAGAGACAAUGCUAAUUAAUUAUUAUAGAAGGAUGUACUCAUAUUUAAUUACACAAACGGGUCUACCGCGAUAUAAUUUCAUUGUUUUUACCUUUAAUACCGACGUUUCAGCUGAGUUGCACCAGCUGUGGUCAAUGUUGAAACCAGCGGAUAUAUCUUCGGACCAGCGUACGGAUACUGUGAGUGUUGCGUGUCGUGCCGUGGACAGUAAACAUUAAACAUUAACGGGUAGCUGCAAUUUCUUUGUCUACCUCGAACAUUUUUAUAAACUAAUUUCGGGUAGUUUAGUGGUGUUUUAUUAAUAUCUCCGUUGACAUUUGUUGGGGCGUCAGUCUUUCCGUGACCACAGCUGGUGCAACUCAGCUGAAACGUCGGAAUUAAAGGUAAAAACAAUGAAAUUAUAUCGCGGUAGACCCGUUUGUGUCAUUAAAUAUGUGUACAAAACGCGAGAGUUUAAAGUGUUAUAGAAGGAUGUGCACGUCGCUCUCCGGAUAGCCUGGAAAGAGUAAUAAUGACGGGCAAAGUUGAAGGCACGAGACCUCAGGGCCCUCCUCCUGCUAGAUGGUGUGCUCAAAUUACGGCACCUAUGCAAUUAAAACUGCACGAGGCCAUGCGCAUGGCGGGGAAUAGAACCCUAUGGAGGAACCUGGUCUUCAACAGAAGGAUAUGAUGUCACGAUCCUCAGUAUUGAGGGACCGACUGAAGAAGAAGAAGGAUGUACUACCUAAUUGUGUAUAAUAACGUCCCUAUAGUAGCUAUAUCACUUAAACUCAUGUACAAUCACCUGCCGCGAUGUUGCGCCAUUUUAGGAUCCUAGCAAAAUUGGCUGUCCAACUUGUCCAAUACUUAUGCUACAGAAUUUCCAAUUUAGUAAGAACCCUACAAGCCUACAUGGCAUAACAGUCCCGUGUGGUGACUGUACGUUCUUCGCUGUGGGCAAAAUAACUUACGCUCACGACACCUAAUGCUUUUGGUAGGUACCAAAAAGUUAUCUAUAUAAGUUUAUUUAUUUAUUCGUAUGGCAAAAAAAUACAAUCGUUCAUCUAUAUAAGUACCUAAAUAUAAUGGUACAAUUUGAGACCUAAAGGGCUAAUUGUAUGUUUUAACUAAAAACUAUUAAACUACUGCCAUGUAAAUUCGACAUAAUGUUAAAGGUAAGCUGUAAAUGUUAUGGUCAAAUGGUCAAGAAGUCAAUAUCCGCCUAAAAUUAUUUUUUAUAACGAAAAUUCAUUGAAGUUUCACUCGUAGCGUUUAGACAAUAACGUAGUUCCGAAAUGCCUCGAAAUAAAUAUUUAUGUAUGUAUUUAAUUACCCCCUUAUUCAUAAACGCGCUACAAGCCUCGAUUAGAUAAUAAUCGUUUGUCUCUAUCUGUCAUUUUGACUUAUGUCUUUGUAAGAAAAGGAUGAAACAUAAUUUAACUAAAUCAGGCCCGUAGUUUUAUGAAUAAGGGGGUUAGAAUAUUUAUGUACUAUACUUUCCUCUUAGUUGUAUGCCGAAUGUGUCACCGGAUCUACAAUGCGUUUACGGACAUUGUGAAGUAGGAAUAUGCAUAGAACAGACCUACUUUAUAUAAUAAAUUUAUAUAAAAAAUAA